rnacentral:rRNA from 1 species
AUGAACGCUGGCGGCGUGCCUAAUACAUGCAAGUCGAGCGAACGGACGAGAAUCUUGCUUCUCUGAUGUUAGCGGCGGACGGGUGAGUAACACGUGGAUAACCUACCUAUAAGACUGGGAUAACUUCGGGAAACCGUAGCUAAUACCGGAUAAUAUUUUGAACCGCAUGGUUCAAAAGUGAAAGACGGUCUUGCUGUCACUUAUAGAUGGAUCCGCGCUGCAUUAGCUAGUUGGUAAGGUAACGGCUUACCAAGGCAACGAUGCAUAGCCAACCUGAGAGGGUGAUCGGCCACACUGGAACUGAGACACGGUCCAGACUCCUACGGGAGGCAGCAGUAGGGAAUCUUCCGCAAUGGGCGAAAGCCUGACGGAGCAACGCCGCGUGAGUGAUGAAGGUCUUCGGAUCGCAAAACUCUGUUAUUAGGGAAGAACAUAUGUGUAAGUAACUGUGCACAUCUUGACGGUACCUAAUCAGAAAGCCACGGCUAACUACGUG